CAGCAGCCGCCGCGGUAAUACAGAGGGUGCGAGCGUUAAUCGGAUUUACUGGGCGUAAAGCGUGCGUAGGCGGCUAAUUGAGUCGGAUGUGAAAUCCCCGAGCUUAACUUGGGAAUUGCAUUCGAUACUGGUUAGCUAGAGUGUGGGAGAGGAUGGUAGAAUUCCAGGUGUAGCGGUGAAAUGCGUAGAGAUCUGGAGGAAUACCGAUGGCGAAGGCAGCCAUCUGGCCUAAUACUGACGCUGAGGUACGAAAGCAUGGGGAGCAAACAGGAUUAGAUACCCCCGUAGUCCCUGUCUCUUAUAC
rnacentral:rRNA from 1 species